rnacentral:rRNA from 1 species
GACGAACGCUGGCGGCGUGCUUAACACAUGCAAGUCGAACGGAAAGGCCCUGCUUUUGUGGGGUGCUCGAGUGGCGAACGGGUGAGUAACACGUGAGUAACCUGCCCUUGACUUUGGGAUAACUUCAGGAAACUGGGGCUAAUACCGGAUAGGAGCUCCUGCUGCAUGGUGGGGGUUGGAAAGUUUCGGCGGUUGGGGAUGGACUCGCGGCUUAUCAGCUUGUUGGUGGGGUAGUGGCUUACCAAGGCUUUGACGGGUAGCCGGCCUGAGAGGGUGACCGGCCACAUUGGGACUGAGAUACGGCCCAGACUCCUACGGGAGGCAGCAGUGGGGAAUAUUGCACAAUGGGCGGAAGCCUGAGGCAGCAACGCCGCGUGCGGGAUGACGGCCUUCGGGUUGUAAACCGCUUUCGCCUGUGACGAAGCGUGAGUGACGGUAAUGGAUAAAGAAGCACCGGCUAACUACGUG